UAACUCUCUCUCACUUGCUUUGCAUUAAUAGAUUCUCUGCUGUGUGGGAUGAUCCUUCAAAUAGCAGGGGCCAGGAUCAAAUACCCUCACCUUCCAGACCCAAGAAUUCUGUGCACAAGAGUUUCUUACAAAAUCGUCCUAUCCAGCAUGCACUUUUGGAUACUCUUUCAACUCAGAAGUCAACAUAAAGGUGCCCCCUGCUGCAGACCAUAAAGGAUGGGACUUUGUUGAGGGCUAUUUCCAUCAAUUUUUCCUGACCAAGAAGGAGUCGCCACUCCUUACCCAGGAGACACAAACACAGCUCCUGCAACAAUUCCAUCGGAAUGGGACAGACCUACUUGACAUGCAGAUGCAUGCUCUGCUACACCAGCCCCACUGUGGGGUGCCUGAUGGGUCCGACACCUCCAUCUCGCCA
rnacentral:sRNA from 1 species